rnacentral:rRNA from 1 species
GCGAAUGCUCUAGAUUAGAGUUUGAUCAUGGCUCAGANUUGAACGCUGGCGGCAAGCUUAACACAUGCAAGUCGAGCGGGGAGAUGUAGCUUGCUACAUAUCCUAGCGGCGGACGGGUGAGUAAUGCUUAGGAAUCUGCCUAUUAGUGGGGGACAACGUUCCGAAAGGAACGCUAAUACCGCAUACGCCCUACGGGGGAAAGCAGGGGAUCUUCGGACCUUGCGCUAAUAGAUGAGCCUAAGUCGGAUUAGCUAGUUGGUGGGGUAAAGGCCUACCAAGGCGACGAACUGUAGCGGGUCUGAGAGGAUGAUCCGCCACACUGGGACUGAGACACGGCCCAGACUCCUACGGGAGGCAGCAGUGGGGAAUAUUGGACAAUGGGCGCAAGCCUGAUCCAGCCAUG